rnacentral:rRNA from 1 species
GACGAACGCUGGCGGCGUGCUUAACACAUGCAAGUCGAACGAUGAACUUGGAGCUUGCUCUGGGGGAUUAGUGGCGAACGGGUGAGUAACACGUGAGUAACCUGCCCUGGACUCUGGGAUAACUUCGAGAAAUCGGAGCUAAUACCGGAUAGGACCUUGCACCGCAUGGUGUGGGGUGGAAAGUUUUUCGGUUUGGGAUGGACUCGCGGCCUAUCAGCUUGUUGAUGAGGUAAUGGCUCACCAAGGCGUCGACGGGUAGCCGGCCUGAGAGGGUGACCGGCCACACUGGAACUGAGACACGGCCCAGACUCCUACGGGAGGCAGCAGUGGGGAAUAUUGCACAAUGGGCGCAAGCCUGAUGCAGCAACGCCGCGUGCGGGAUGACGGCCUUCGGGUUGUAAACCGCUUUUAGUAGGGAAGAAGCCUUCGGGUGACGGUACCUGCAGAAAAAGGACCGGCUAACUACGUGCCAGCCGCCGCGGUAAGAC